AGUGAACGCUGGCGGUAGGCCUAACACAUGCGAGUCGAACGGCAGCACAGUAAGAGCUUGCUCUUACGGGUGGCGAGUGGCGGACGGGUGAGGAAUACAUCGGAAUCUACUUUUUCGUGGGGGAUAACGUAGGGAAACUUACGCUAAUACCGCAUACGACCUACGGGUGAAAGCAGGGGAUCUUCGGACCUUGCGCGAUUGAAUGAGCCGAUGUCGGAUUAGCUAGUUGGCGGGGUAAAGGCCCACCAAGGCGACGAUCCGUAGCUGGUCUGAGAGGAUGAUCAGCGACACUGGAACUGAGACACGGUCCAGACUACUACGGGAGGCAGCAGUGGGGAAUAUUGGACAAUGGGGGCAAGCCUGAUCCAGCCAUACCGCGUCGGUGAAGAAGGCCUUCGGGUUGUAAAGCCCUUUUGUUGGGAAAGAAAAGCAGCAGGUUAAUACCCCGCUGUUCUGACGGUACCCACAGAAUAAGCACCGGCUAACUUCGUG
rnacentral:rRNA from 1 species